CGUGUAGGCGGCCAAGCAGGUCCGCUGUGAAAACUCGAGGCUCAACCUCGAGAGGUCGGUGGAAACCGUUUGGCUAGAGUCCGGAAGAGGAGAGUGGAAUUCCCGGUGUAGCGGUGAAAUGCGCAGAUAUCGGGAAGAACACCCGUGGCGAAGGCGGCUCUCUGGGACGGUACUGACGCUGAGACGCGAAAGCGUGGGGAGCGAACA
rnacentral:rRNA from 1 species